rnacentral:rRNA from 1 species
AUGACUCACCAUGAUAUACAACAAGAGGUGAUAAAAUGUUGUGCACAAGAGACUACUAAAUUAGUCAUUGAAGAACUUGAUGGUGGUCAUUUUGCAAUACUAGCAGAUGAGUCUAGUGAUGUGUAUCAGAAUGAACAAUUGGUUGUUUGCUUGCGUUUUAUUGAUAAGAAAGGAAGGGCGGUUGUAAGAUUUCUUGGUCUUGCUCGUGUUGAAGAUACUACCUCUUUGACACUAAAAGCUGCAAUUCAGAAAAUGCUUAUGGACUACAAUCUGACCUUUUCGAUGGUUCGUGGGCAAGGAUAUGAUGGAGCUAGUAACAUGAGAGGUAAUGUUAAUGGCCUGAAAAAACUGAUUAUGGAUGAGUGCCCUUAUGCCUACUAUGUUCAUUGUUUUGCCCAUCAACUACAGUUAACUCUUGUUGUUGUUGCUAAGGAGAGUGGUGAUUGUACUUGGUUUUUUCAGCAGCUUGCACACUUGUUAAAUGCUCUUGGCAUGUCUUGUAAAAAGAUGAGAAUGCUUCGGAUAGCUCAGGCUGAAGAACUCAUUGAUGCAUUGGAAUUGGAAGAAGUAGAAUCAGGGAGUGGGCUGAAACAGGAAAUGGGUUUGGGAAGUCCAUGUGAUAGACGUUGGGGCUCUCACUUCAAAACUGUGAACCAUGUCAUCUCUAUGUAUGGUGCACUACGACGAGUCCUUCGCAAGAUUGGAGACGAGUACCAUGGUGCGGAGGCACUAGCGGCUCUACCCAUAGAGACAAUAUUUCGAUCAUUUGAGUUUGUUUUCAUGGCACACUUGAUGCAAGAAAAAUUUGGAUACACAGAUGAGUUGUGUAGAGCUUCGCAAAAGCAAGACGAAGAUAUUGUUCAUGCUAUUGAGCUUGUUCGUGACACAAAGUAUUACUUGGAGGCUUUGAGGACCAAUGCUGGAUGGGAUGAUUUUCUCACAAAGGUCACAUCUUUUUGUACAAAGCAUAAGAUCAAAGUUGUUGAUAUGGAGGGUCCUUACUUUCCCGUUGGCUGGCCUAGAAGGGGUUUAUGUAAUGGUGUGGUCAAUUACCACCGCUUCAAGGUUGAUAUGUUUGUGGGUGUCAUUGAUAGGCAAAUCAGUGAGUUGAAUGGCAGAUUUGAUGAUGUAAACACAGAGCUACUUUCUUGCAUGGCAACAUUCUGUCCACUUCAUCUAUUUGCUGCUUAUGACCAAGAGAAGUUGGUUAGGCUUGCUACAAAGUUUUAUGCUUUUGAUUUUACAAGUGAUGAACUGGCAAGGCUUUCAUGGCAACUAAACAUGUAUGUUACUAAUGUGCGUAGAGAUGAAAGGUUUCAAAACCUGAAAAAUCUGUGUCAACUUUCAGUUGUGCUUGUGGAGACAAACAAGCAUGGACAAUAUCAUAUUGUUUACAAGCUUCUUAAGUUGGUAUUGAUUCUGCCAGUAGCUACUGCUAGUGUUGAAAGGUUCUCUUCAAUAAGCCAUGUGAAGAAUAAGCUAAGGAGCAAAAUGGGUGAUGAAUAUUUGAACAAUUGUUUGGUUACAUUUGUUGAGAGAGAAUUUUUCAAGUAAGUGAAGGAUGAAGAUGUCAUCAAUCUUUUCCAAAAAGGAGACCGCAAAGUUAUAUUGUAA